CGACCGCUGGCGGCGUGCUUAACACAUGCACGUCGAACGGAAAGGCCCUGCUUUUGUGGGGUGCUCGAGUGGCGAACGGGUGAGUAACACGUGAGUAACCUGCCCUUGACUUUGGGAUAACUUCAGGAAACUGGGGCUAAUACCGGAUAGGAGCUCCUGCUGCAUGGUGGGGGUUGGAAAGUUUCGGCGGUUGGGGAUGGACUCGCGGCUUAUCAGCUUGUUGGUGGGGUAGUGGCUUACCAAGGCUUUGACGGGUAGCCGGCCUGAGAGGGUGACCGGCCACAUUGGGACUGAGAUACGGCCCAGACUCCUACGGGAGGCAGCAGUGGGGAAUAUUGCACAAUGGGCGGAAGCCUGAUGCAGCAACGCCGCGUGCGGGAUGACAGCCUUCGGGUUGUAAACCGCUUUCGCCUGUGACGAAGCGUGAGUGACGGUAAUGGGUAAAGAAGCACCGGCUAACUACGUG
rnacentral:rRNA from 1 species